rnacentral:rRNA from 1 species
GACGAACGCUGGCGGCGUGCUUAACACAUGCAAGUCGAACGGAAAGGCCCUGCUUUUGUGGGGUGCUCGAGUGGCGAACGGGUGAGUAACACGUGAGUAACCUGCCCUUGACUUUGGGAUAACUUCAGGAAACUGGGGCUAAUACCGGAUAGGAGCUCCUGCUGCAUGGUGGGGGUUGGAAAGUUUCGGCGGUUGGGGAUGGACUCGCGGCUUAUCAGCUUGUUGGUGGGGUAGUGGCUUACCAAGGCUUUGACGGGUAGCCGGCCUGAGAGGGUGACCGGCCACAGUGGGACUGAGAUCCGGCCGAGACUCCUACGGGGGGCAGGAGUGGGAAAUAUUGCACAGGGGGCGGAAGCCUGAUGCAGCACCGCCGCGUGCGGGAUGGCGGCCUUCGGGUUGAAAACCGCUUUCGCCUGUGACGAAGGGUGAGUGAGGGUAAGGGGUAAAGAAGCACCGGCUAACUACG